UUAUGGGUUCAGAAUUACAUCAAGAUCAGCAUUGGUUGAGAUUAUCAUAUUUAUGCUGGUAUCCCUACAGUCAUAUAUGUUUUCAGCACAGGAGUUUGAUUAUGUGUCUGAAUAUCUUGAAGCAGAGCAGAUUGGUGCUAUAGUGCAAGAACAGGAGAAGAAGGCUGCUUGGAAGACUUCUCAGUUGCAACAGAUACGAAAAUCUGAAGAGGAGAAGCGCUUGCGUAAUUUACAAGUGGAAAAGAUGAAAUCAGAGAUGCUUAACCUCCAAAUCCAGCUUCAGAGUAUCAACAACAAUGCAGAUUGUGGUAAUGCUUCUCAAAGUCAAGGCAAUAUGUGGAGAAACUCAUCCCCAAGAAUAGAUAUAGUGAAUAGCAUCACAGGCAAAGGAGAAUAUGAUUUUAAG
rnacentral:misc_RNA from 1 species